CCGACCUUAGCUCAGUUGGUAGAGCGGAUGAUUGUAGAUCCUUAGGUUGCUGGUUCAAAUCUGGCAGGUCGGA
rnacentral:tRNA from 1 species